rnacentral:rRNA from 1 species
UCCCAGUUCGGAUUGCAGGCUGCAACCCGCCCGUAUGAAGUUGGAAUCGCUGUAAUCGCGGAUCAGCAUGCCGCGGUGAAUACGUUCCCGGGCCUUGUACACACCGCCCGUCACACCAUGAGAGUCGGGAACACCCGAAGUCCGUAGUCUAACCGCAAGGGGACGCGGCCGAAGGUGGGUUCGAUAAUUGGGGUGAAGUCGUAACAAGGUAGC